rnacentral:lncRNA from 1 species
GGAGAAGGCGGUACCUCUAGGGGAGCACGGGUGAGAAGGAGAAGAUGGCAGAGGCUUGAAUUCUCCAGAUCCAAGGUCAUCAAGAUGAGGGAACACUAGUAUAUUAGUCUCUACUUCUUUGCCUAUUCAAUGUGGUAUCAGGAAUCUUCUGGAUUAUGGAUCAGAAAAGCUAGUUCCAAUUUGGCUUUGAGAAAGGAAGAUAAUACUUAAGGCAUGCAUUUGACAAGAGUAAGUUGGCUCCAGGUAUGGCUUGACCAAGGUGCGCAAGACCAUCAGGGUCUGCUAACUCUCCGUGUUUCAGCUCAGUCAUGCCUCAAUGGUUUUCUUUCUCAAGGUAGCAUAGAGUAGGAGAACUGACGGCUGCCAGAAAUUUCAGCUGAAGAACCUUCCAGAUUAAAAUAAAAAGAAACUAUAGUUUUAAUUUUUUUUUCUCUACAAACCUCAAGAGUCACUAUGUCUGGACUGGUUUAGGACAAGUUUUUGGCCUAACAUUAAUUAUGAGGACACUAUGGAAAUUAAAUGAGCUCAUUGGCUUGUCUGGGGAAGAGGAAAUGAUGGCUUCCUGAGAAAAUUCACUGUUAUCAGUAAAGGAAUAAUGAAUACUUAGUGGUCAGAAUGGCAGCUGUUCAUCAUGACUUCUAAAGCCACAUGCUUUCUCAAGAAAUGGUAUCUCUGACACAUGGCUUCAGAGAAGUCACAGCCAGAAUGGCUAAGCAAAGAUGGUCCUGGAAACUUGAGUUUCUCAUCUCUCCAGAUACCUGACCAAGUGGCCUUUGAGAAUAUAGACUCCUUUCCUGGCUUUGGGGAGAGCAAGGUUUUCCAUGCUGAUCACUGCAGAUCUCCAUAUCUGUUAGUGACCCUGCUUGGAAUGCUGGAACCAGAGGUUUACCUGCAGUUUUUCAGAGCAGUAGAUGAAGCCAGCAUGGGCCUUUGCUGUGUGUUAAUUUAGAACAAAGGGCUUGCCUCCCAGCAGGCACCUGUGGAUGAUCUAGAAGCUGGUCCAGGAGCAGCACGGCCAUGGACCUGACUGAUGUAGACUAUGUUGGGCUGUCCUAAAUGAGUUUCAGCAGAAUCCAAGAACUGUACCUCAUUAUGCAUAGGUAUAGCUUCAAUUUUUUCUUCUUUUGAGACAUGGUUUCACUAUAUAGCCUAGGCUGGUCUGGAAUCUGCCUCUGCUUCCCGAGUACAGGCGCUAGGGUUACAGGUGUGCGAAAACAAACAAACAAACAAACAAACAAACAACCCUGUUUUCCCUUCCAGCCAUUUAGUUCUCAACAAUAUCAACUCUGAGACAAAUUUUUAUUAUUAAAUACCUAGGCCAUAAGCUUUGGCUCAUUCCCUAACUAGAUUAUAACUUAUUUAACCCAUUCAAACUAUUAUAUGUCUACCAUUUGGCUAGUUACCUCUCUCUCCUUCAGUCCUGGCCCACUUCUUCCUUCGAGUCUCUUCAUCACCUCCCUCAAAUCUCUCCCAGUGUCUCUCCUUUUAUUAUCUCACUAUUUCCCAGGAAUCCUCUCUCUUUCUGCCAGUGUCCUGCCUCCUAUUUCUUGCCUCAGCUCAUUGGCCAUAGGCUUUUAUAUUGACAGGUGAUGUUUAUCAGAGAUUCUCUCUACAGAGAUAUGCCACCACGUCCUGCUUAGAUGCACUCUCUCCUCCAGCCUUGAAGCUCUCAUUAGAGGGAAAGCUCUGGAUGUAUCUGGAUGGCACAUUAAAGAAAGGCCCAGAAUCCUCAGAAGGUCUGGAGCAUUGAGCCAUGGCAGUGAGAUUUAGGUACCAGUUGAUGAAGGGGCAUAGCAUGCAGCUGUUUGCUUGGCUGCUCUUCAUUCUGAUUGGAUGUGUUAGAGGGAAAAUAGAAGAGAGUCCAAGCAUCCCUCCCAGGUACCUAGAGCACUUAAGCAGAGGUGUUGCUGGUAGUAUCAUCUACAUAGGAAGUUGAUACAGAGCUCUUUCCAUUCAGUAGGGGGUGUUCUUUGUGCAAAACGGCUCCUGUGUCCUUCAGUGGAAGGAUAUGGGUCCCAGGACCAGGGUCAAAACUGCUAUCCUUCUGUUGAUACCAAAAGAGCUUGACUGACCUUUCCAUGUUUCUUAUUUAUCACAACAUAUACAGUAAUUUCUGGGUAGUGUGUGUGUGUGUGUGUAUGUGUGCAUGCACACACAGGGUAGGAUGUCAGGUGUCCUGUAUCUCUACCACUGACCUUGGGGCUCUCUGCUUUUCUGCUAGGCUAGUUGGUCAGCAUGCCAGUGUGAUCCUCUUGUUUCUAUUCUUCUUCCUCCAGUGCUGGAGCUUCAGGGGUCAUGGGUGCUGGAGAUCUGAACUCAGGUCCUCUUGGUUACACAAACAACAAUGCUCUUACCCACUGGGCCACCUAUACAGCAGGUGGAGCUGUUUUUCUACUCAUUUUUCAGAUGUGACAACAGAGAGUUAGGAUGUGGUCUGCCAGCCCUGCUCAUGUCUGCCUAUGCCUCCCCAUUAGGUUCUCUGUGCUGUGUACUUUCUAUAUGAUGUCCUGACGCAGACAAGGAAAGUACUCAGCACUGGAUCAGAGGACCAUGUUUGUGUUGUACCACUGACAGAUGUGAAAUUUAGUGUAAGCCAGCUAAGUUCGGAAUCCUGAGUGUCCGUAUCUAGCAAGUGAGAAAGCUGGAUACUGGUUAUGAUUAUGAUUUGUGAAUUAGGCAUGCAUGGGAUAGCAAGACUUGCUGGCUUCAGAUACGGCUUGACCAAGUUGUUCAACAAGGACACCAAAGCUUGAAUAGGCCGCCAUUCCCCUGCUUUGUGUGCCUCUGCUGGUUUUCUCUCAGAUGGCAUAGGGUGGUCCAAUGGCUGCACAGAUUCCCUAGAUACACAGAAAGGGUGAGAUUCUGAAACCUCAGGUUAGGUUUUUUUUUGUGUGUUUUGUUUUGUUUUUGUUUUUGUUUUUGUCUCCAUUCCUGUUAGAUUCUCUGAUGGAAUCACAUAAUGUUUCUAGUCUUUAUCUCAGAUCAUCUUAAGGGUUAAGGCCAGCAAGGGUGAGAAAAUAUUGGUUUUCAAGUUCAAGGAUAUGAUUAAGUGACUUAAGAAAGGAUCAAGUUCCUUGUAUUUAGAUUUAAGUAGUCACACACAGCUAGUAGGUCCUGUUCUGGGAGCCCACCCUAGGCUGAGGCUGUGGGCUUGCUAUGUGGAAGUGGUAAUUAUUUUACCCUGAACAUAUCCUCACCCUCUGCUCUGAAAGCCCACGGAACAGACUCUAAGUGAAGACUGUGUUCUUGCCUCUGUGUUAGAGCACUUCAGGAGGCACCCAACUCCCCUGUCUGGGAACUCAUUGCUCACCAGAAACUGCACUUUUAACUCCUCCCUAUGGCCAGCCAUCUCCCCCAGUGUGCAUUCAAAGGAAACCACCACUAGCCUGAAAAUCUGUUAUACAGUCACCCCUUGGUUUCCUUACAGGACCCUUAUACAGACAUCAAAGCCCACAGACUCCUUGGUCCCUUACAUAAAAAUGGGUGUAUAUUUGCAUGUGAUUUGCAUAGACCAGCCCUACUACUUAUAAUACUGGAUUCAAGGCAAAUACUAUGCAAAUGUCUGCUAUCUUGCACUGCUUAGAAAAUAAUGUCACAACAAGGCCCAUUUGUUCAAUAUAGAUGCAACUCUAAAAUAUUUUCAGCCCAUGGUUGGUUGAAUCUGUGGAUGUGGAAGCCACAGGUACAGAAGAUUGGUUGCACAUAUAUAGGUAUAUAGGCAAAUAUUUGUUUGCAUAAUAUCCUGUGAAAAGAGGAAAUCUUGCUGUUUGUAACAGCAUAGACUAAUCUGGGGGACAGGAUAAUAAGCCAAAGACAAGAAGACAAAUACUGCAUGAUUCACUUAAAUGUGGGAUGAUCUCAGAGAAAUAGACUACAUAGAUGGUUGCUGGAGCCCAGGGGACAGGAGGAGUUAAGACAUGUCAGUCACAGGGCCCACAUUUGCAUUUAUAAAGUUCGCAAGUGCUGGUGGACCUAGUGGAAGCAUGGUUACUAAUCAUGUUUUGUGUGCUUGAAGUCUGCUGUGGUAAAUCUCAAAUAUUCUCAUCUCUCACACACAGAAGGUAACUGUGAAGAGAUGGAUGUGGUAAUUAGCUUGAUUAUGGUAAUCAUGUCACAGUGUAUACACAUAUCAAAACAUUAUUUUGUUCACCUUGGAUAUAUACAACUUCUAUUUGUUAAUUAUUCCUCAAUAAAGCAG